UCAGAACCAAACACAAUCAGCAAUCCUUCAAAAUCACCUAUUUCGUGGUACAUCAAUGGAGCUAUUGGUUUGGUCGCACUGCUGAUAACAGCUGUGUGUCUCAUCAUAAGGAAAAGAAUGAAAGGAAACAAAAUGCAGAAGAAUGAAAAUCCUGGACUGAGUUCAAACCCUGCAGAGACUCAAACCAAUCAGAACUCGGUGGAUCCUGAAGUUUCCUAUGUCACCAUCAGCAACACCUAGAAAACCAAGAUAAGGUGUUUUGUUUAGUGAUAUGUUUGUUUGUUUGUUAUUAUUUUAUCUAUAUAUCAGACAGCUUUUUUCAGAUUCGUGUUGAUGAUGAAAUGAUGCAGUGACUUCUGCUCUACUGUCAAUUUUAAAAUAACAUAGUUCAAGCUGUUGAAAAAAAAGAAUUUGCAUUUAAUGGAAAGACAAUUCUUGAAUAUUGUUUAUGGGUCCAACAGAUUUAAAGAAACACCAGUUUUUGGGACAGUGCCCAGCUACAUUAUAAUACACUUAUUUUUCCUUUUUUUAAAUGAAAAUAUAAUUGGUACCAGGAGUUCUUUGCUAUGGAUAUGAGCAGUUGCUCUAAGAGAAGGCUGGAUAGAAAACAUACAACUAAAACUAUUGCUAUUGCUAGACUAUUGAACAGCACACAGGAUUCAGUGCCAUGGUCAUAGAGUUUUGAGUUGUAUUUGAGUUUCAAAUUUGUGUUCUGAAGAUCUUCCUUAGCUUCUAUUUUUAUUAUUUAUUACCUGUUUUUACUGUUCAUCUUAUUUUGAAUUUUUCCUCUGUCAAAAGAAAAGAAAUCCAAAGUACUGAAAGGAAUCUAUGCUCUUUAUUUUGUUCUCAUUUUUAUGAUGAUGGGUAGGUUGACAGUUGAGGUCAGGCAGGAGUCUCUGGUCUAUUAUGUUUGUGGACAACAUUAAGAAACAGGUGAAAGACGGCCUGUAGCGGUGGAGGAGUGUUCUGGAGAGAAGUUGUGUGAAUGAGAGGGAGACAGGUUUAACAGAGAUGCUUCAGGGAGUAGAGGUAAUAUAGGUGGAGAAAUUCAAAUACCUGAGGUCAAUGAGCCAAAGCAACAUUUAUGAUGUUAUUAUCAUUGUGUAACCACAUCAUUUCUUUAGGGAUUAAUACAUUUUUCUGAUUCACUGACACGCUGUUGUUAUUUUAAUCUGAUAGAAGAUGUGUAUUCAAGUCUUAAUCCUCUCUUAUAAUAUGACUGUUGUUAAAUGCCUUUAAUGCCUUUAUAGUUUGUGUAAGUGAAAUAUGUGCAGUGUCAAAAGUCCAGUAUGAGUUUUAUAACAUGUCUUUCAUGAUGAUUAAAUAGAAUCUGAAUCAA